ACAGAAUUAGAUCGGGGAAAGUCGAAAGUAAUCGAAUAGUCGAUCGAGUCUGCGGAUAUCCGAGAUUUUGGAGACGCGUUACGAGCUCGGGGAUCAUCAGCAUAGUCCAUCACACUAUCGACUUCUUUUGGUAUUUUGUUAAAUGUUUGAACUCAAUCUUAUGGCAUGUAUAGGUUGAGCACGAUAUUAAUUACAUUUUGAUUGUAAAUUAUAAUAGCUAUGCGAAAGUAAUUAAAUUUUCAUGUUGUGAUCA